UUGAGCUCUAGCCAGCAUAAUACCCAUAAUCACGAGUCGCUCACUAUCACAUAGAUUUGGGAAGUGAAUUUUUGGGUACUUUUUCAGGCGAUCAGCACGGGGAGGCUUACGGUGGCGACGGCGGUGGCGCUGUGGCGGGGGACGGCGGCGGUGGCGGCAGAGUACAUGAAGUACAAGGACCCCAAGCAGCCGUUGGAGGAGAGAGUGAGAGAUUUGAUGAGUAGAAUGACUCUUGCUGAAAAGAUUGGACAGAUGACUCAGAUUGAACGUCGGGUUUCAUCUGCAGAUGUUAUCCACAAAUAUUUAAUUGGGAAAUAUAGAAGAAGGCAAAACCCAAGGAAAUUUUAGAGAAAGAUAUCCCCAAGAAAGACUAAGCGUUAAGGUUCAAUUUACGUCUAGCACAGAUUGUAGAAUCUAUGGCAGAGGAAGUGGAGAUUUGCUGUUGAGAAAUGCAAUCUUGUAAUUAGUACCUCUUUUUUCCAAGGUGUGCAGGGACCCGAGAUGGGGCGUUGUUACGAAAGCUACAGCGAAGAUCACGAGAUUGUGCAGAAGAUGACCGAGAUCAUCCCUGGUCUGCAAGGGGAAGUUCCACCAAAUUACCCAAACAACUUCCCAUUUGUCCUUCCUAGGGCGAAAGUCGCGGGAUGUGCAAAGCAUUUCGUUGGAGACGGUGGCACUGCCUAUGGAAUCAAUGAGAAUGACACAGUGAUAGAGUGGAAUCAGUUGCAAGACAUCCAUAUGCCUGCUUAUCUCGACUCGAUCAGGAAGGGUGUCACGACUAUAAUGAUCUCAUACUCGAGCUUGAAUGGAAUCCAGAUGCACGCCAACUAGG